rnacentral:rRNA from 1 species
GACGAACGCUGGCGGCGUGCCUAAUACAUGCAAGUAGAACGCACAGUUUAUACCGUAGCUUGCUACACCAUAAACUGUGAGUUGCGAACGGGUGAGUAACGCGUAGGUAACCUGCCUGGUAGCGGGGGAUAACUAUUGGAAACGAUAGCUAAUACCGCAUAAUAUUGAUUAUUGCAUGAUAAUUGAUUGAAAGAUGCUAUUGCAUCACUACCAGAUGGACCUGCGUUGUAUUAGCUAGUAGGUGAGGUAACGGCUCACCUAGGCGACGAUACAUAGCCGACCUGGGAGGGUGAUCGGCCACACUGGGACUGAGACACGGCCCAGACUCCUACGGGAGGCAGCAGUAGGGAAUCUUCGGCAAUGGACGAAAGUCUGACCGAGCAACGCCGCGUGAGUGAAGAAGGUUUUCGGAUCGUAAAGCUCUGUUGUAAGAGAAGAACGGGUGUGAGAGUGGAAAGUUCACACUGUGACGGUAUCUUACCAGAAAGGGACGGCUAACUACGUG